UCCUGACCUCAGGUGAUCCGCCCACCUCUGCCUCCCAAAGUGCUGGGAUUACAGGCGUGAGCCACCACGCCCUGCCUGAUAUUCCAAUUUUCCAUUUCAUGUGUUUAACUACUAGUUAUCAUCUCAACAAUAUUUACAUGAAUAUACUGUGUACACUGUAAUGCUCUAUAAAAAGUUUUAUUAUUCCUAAACUCCCAUAAAUGUAAUUUAAUGGUUUCCAGUCCUAUAUAAGUCAUUCUACCUUUUGAAGAAACUCCGAAACACAAAUAUCCAAUCCUUUGUUAGUAAAGCAUACAUCCUUCUCUGAUUCUGGCACGAAAGAAAGUGCAUAAUUUACUUCUGGAUAGAGAGUCACAGAUAAAAAGGAAAGCAAAUCUGAUUAUCAAACACACGAUUACUGUUCUCUCAUCACCGGAUUAAAAUUUAAACCAUUAAGCUGAAGUAAACGUUCAUGAACAUAUGAAAGGGGGGAAUUUUUAACAGUUUUACAAUGACGCGUCCUCCUCUUCCUCAUUUAAUGAAGUACUAAGAACUUAAAGGCCAUUCUACAGCGAAUCUGGCUCCUAGAAAGAGUCCAUCCAGGAUGCUGAGAGAGGGAAAAGAUUAGAAACUGUGCGAUCUGGACUAUUCUUGGUGUUACGGAGUAUUUUUUCGGUCCUUUAUGGACAUGGAAUAAAAAUGCCCAAAAGGAGCAAGAGAGAGGGCUCGGCUGCCCUGAUCACAAAGCUCCUGGGGUAGAGUCAGCAUCCAGCCCUGGCAGAGCCCUCGCCGUCCUCCUUCCGCGCCCCUAGACCAUCCCGUCGCGCAGUCCCUGAGGGCCAGCUUCGCGAGGAUCCAGAAGGCAGUCGCUGGACGUGCGUGUUACGAGCCCGUUUUUGUUUUGUUUAAGAAACAGAUUCCGAUCUGAGCCAAGCCUCCCUGCCUCCCGGGGAACAGGGGGAGAUGGCAGCAGGGUGCCGGCGUGGAGAGCGAGAAUAAAAGAACGGCCGAGUACAACCUGUCGUGCAAGCUAGCAGCGCCAGGAAGGAAAGGUAAGCGGCGGCGAUAAGGCACGACAGGGAAGGAAACUGGAGUCCAGCACCCGCCCUCAACCCAGUCACCCAGAGCGGCCGGAGCCUCCCAGGUCCCGCCCCGAGCUCGCGCCCAGCCCCGGCGCCGGCCGCAGACUCCCGCCCUACACAAACCCUCCCAGGACGCGCUUCCUCCGGAGCCGGACCCCCGCCCUGGCCUCCUGGCGGGAUGAGGCGGGUCAGUUCAGUCCGCUUCUCGGCAGAGGUGACUCGCGCAGAGAUGUAAACACGGCGAGACCAGCUGCGCUCGGCCCAUCCCCCGCGCCGGGCCUCGCCGCGAUGAACCUGGCACCUGACGCGGUAUUCACCAGCUCCUUUCUGGGCUCCAGCGUUACCAUUUUUACGGCUUCACAACCAGUCUGGAGCAAAGAAGGAACCCCGAGGAAUGGGAAACCUGGAGACCGUGAGUGUUAAUCAAAGAUCCUCUUAACUCUUGACAAAGUUUUCUGGAUUCCUGAGUUCUAAAUCAUAGGACUAUCGACACCCUUUUGAACUAAAGAAUAUGUAAAGCUUUGGUAACAUUAAAAUCUUUAAUACACAAUAAACAGGAUUCUGCAAACAUAGCACCCUUUCUAAGGGAGUCUUUAUCUCACUUCUUGUAAAAUAACUUAUCACUUAUGGGAACCAUUGCCCACUUUGAUAUUUGUAGGGAAUUAAUUAAUAAUAAUAUUGCAUCUUCAUAACAUAACAUAACAUAGCAUACUAAGGAGCCGGCAAAGACAAAGCCUGAUUCCUGUUGUUAGGGACAGAUAUCACCUGCCGAGUCAUGUCAUUUCUGUUGUCAGCCACGUUGAGAAGAAAGUCUCUCCCACUGCCAAUUGGCAAUAAGUCGGAAAGUCCCAGGUGGAUAACAGUGGUAGAUAACAUUAUUGUUCCCAAUUUUUCACUACUCCAUGCAUGCAUGCCCUUUGAAAUACAGCUUUGUAGUUCCUCUCAGUAGAGAUAGGAUGUUUCUCCACCCUGUUCAUGUUGGGCUUAGAUCAGUCCAUUUGCUUUUGGCUAAAGAAGAUAGGCAGAAGUGACAGUGUGACAGUUCUGAGCCUGGCCUCGAGGUAUUUCAUGUUUCGCCUUCCCUCUCUGGCACUCUUGUUUUUCACAAUGUGACGAACAUACCUGCCUAGUUUGCUGGUCCAAGAAGUAUGAAGCAGAUCUGAAGCCAGUCGCAGGUUGGGGUCAGCAACCCAAAAAAUAAAGGAUUGUUGUUUCAAGUCGUGUUUUAGAGUAAUAGUGUUUUGGAGUACUUGGUUCCCAGAAUUAGUGUUGUGAUAGCUGACUGAAACAACAGCAGAGAGAGCAAUCAGAUUCCUUGGUAUUGGCCUGGAAGGUGCCUAACUUGAUGUCUUUCAGGCAGCUCUUUGGCUAUGGUUCUUAGACACAUCCUUUACAGAGGCCAGCGGAGUAAGGAACCCAGAA